AGUCCAUAACAGUACCAACGUAGCCAGUCUCUUCACGAAGCUCUCGAAUCGCAGCAUCUUCACAAGACUCCUUAGAAUCAACUAAACCUGCUGGAAUUUCAAUACAAAACUUGCCAAUAGGAGGACGAAAUUGCUUUUGGCACAACACAUGAGGACUUCCGUCGAUAGGAACAAUGGCUAAGAUGGCUACGGCAUCCACAUUGGCUUCUGAACGUGUCGUACGUUCAGCCAUUUCCCAAAACCUGAUUUUUCCUUUUUCGUCUUGCCAACGGAUUUUCUUUAAGGAUGUCCACUUGGCAUCCUGAUUCUCAAGGUUGGACACUUCCAAAACUUUAGGUUUUUGAUCUUGGCUCAUUUUAUCAAUACAGGUGCUCAAACCUUUGACAGUGUAUGAAGGGUGUUGGAAUGAAGUUGCUGAUAUUUGAAAAGAGAAGGUGGAAAUAGCGAUGUGAGAAUAUGAGCUAAUCAAUUUCGGAGGAUGCUGGUGUCUACCAACGUUAAGUAAAUAUCGGGUUAGAAAUGAAGUUGCAUUUAUACCUAAUGUUCUUGUACUUUUAAUAAUAUGCUGGAAAAAAUUUCGGUGCAUGAGUGACUUAAAAUCCAACUGAAAUAUUGCUUACUUUUUUCCCGUUAAUGCGUAAACGUGCGAUUAGUAUGACAAUGUAAGUAUGAUGUUAAUUUGUUUUGACGUAUAUUUACAAAUUUCAUUAAUGUAAAUAUUAACAAUCAGCAAAAAACCAAAAUUAUUAUUUGAGCAAAAUCAUAACGCGGAGUAUACCAUUAAUUAUUAACUUAGCUAUAAACUGGUCGUUUAUCACCUUCUCUAGUGUCUUUUCAUUUGCAAUUGAUUUUACAAACGGAUCAUCAAAAGAUACCGUGACCGGUUUUAGCCAAUAUAAUGGAGUUUUUCCUACCCUUUUCUAUUAUUGUAGUAAAAGAUUUUACGCUGUAAGAGAAAUUGCAUUUAUUUACGUUUUCAGUUCAUAAUCGCUUAUUGAUAUUAGAAUAGCGUCAACUUAUGAUUUAAGAAUAUAUAAUAUUAAUACUUUAUCGACUCACAUCUCAUUUAAAUUACAUUUAUGCCAUAACCCAUAUC